GACUAAGAUAACAUUCGGCAGGGGUGUUGGGAAUGUCCAGCACAACCUGUCAACAUUCCAGGUUAUGUUGACGGGUCGUGAUGGGCACUCUCAGCGUCCCAUGCCCAAACUGCACAUCA
rnacentral:pre_miRNA from 1 species